AAUAAGGGAAGCAGCAUGAGACAGCAAGUAUUUGAUGGAAGAGGUUAAUGAGUUCUGACGGCAUUAUUUUGGCAUCGUUGUUAACGAGAAGAAGGCGUGGCUGAAUUAAAUGUCUGUGGGAGAAGAAGGAACAACUUGAGCCUUGAUUAAGACCUCGGAGGGAAUAACAGUAACUAAACGUCUCUUCACAAGUUCUCUUUGGUGGACCUCUGGCCGCGUCCUGAAAAGUCCCUACAUGAUGAACGUCUGACCCAGGAUCUUGUUGUUGAUCUCUGCCAACGCCACGGAGAAGACAACCUUCUUGUCUGCUUCGAUGGUGUAUCAUAUCUGACCGUGUUAAAGGCAAUCCCAGGUAGGGGAAAAUAACCAACACUAAUCCAUAGGAACUAACAGUUGUUAGCUCCCUGUGGUAACUGUCAUUGUGUUCAUGCGAUCAUGAAUAGUGAUUCAUCAUGCAUUUGGACGGCCUCCUAUGAGAAACACUAACAUCCAUCAUUUUUAAAGACAAAUUCUUGGACUCCACCCAAGAUGGCUACUACACGCCCAAAACUACCAACUGUAAUACCCUUGUCAGCCUGUAAGAGUCAUACAUCUUU